rnacentral:snRNA from 1 species
GGUAGUUUUAGAAAACAAAA